rnacentral:rRNA from 1 species
AGAGUUUGAUCCUGGCUCAGAGUGAACGCUGGCGGCGUGCCUAACACAUGCAAGUCGAACGAGAACGGAUUACAGCUUGCUGUAAUUGUCAGCUAAGUGGCGCACGGGUGAGUAAUAUAUAGUUAAUCUGCCCCAAAGAAGAGAAUAAUUGUUGGAAACGACUUGUAAUGCUCUAUAUGCCUUUAAGACAUAAGUUUGCAAGGGAAAUAUUUAUAGCUUUGGGAUGAGACUGUACGGUAUCAGCUAGUUGGUGAGGUAAUGGCUCACCAAGGCUAUGACAUCUAACUGGUUUGAGAGGAUGAUCAGUCACACUGGAACUGAGACACGGUCCAGACUCCUACGGGAGGCAGCAGUGGGGAAUAUUGCACAAUGGAGGAAACUCUGAUGCAGCAACGCCGCGUGGAGGAUGACACAUUUCGGUGCGUAAACUCCCUUUAUAUGAGAAGAUAAUGACG